rnacentral:rRNA from 1 species
GACGUAGGGCGCGAGCGUUGUCCGGAUUUAUUGGGCGUAAAGAGCUCGUAGGCGGCUUGUCGCGUCGUCCGUGAAAACCUGGGGCUCAACCCCAGGCUUGCGGUCGAUACGGGCAGGCUAGAGUUCGGUAGGGGAGACUGGAAUUCCUGGUGUAGCGGUGAAAUGCGCAGAUAUCAGGAGGAACACCGAUGGCGAAGGCAGCUCGCUGGGACGGUACUGACGCUGAGGCGCGAAAGCGUGGGGAGCAAACAGG